ACAAUUAAUGCCCUUCUUGAAA
rnacentral:misc_RNA from 1 species